rnacentral:rRNA from 1 species
AUUAAUAAUUAAUAUAUUUAAUAAAAAUAAUUUUAAUUUAAUAAGUAUUUUAAUGGGGGUUAAAGUAUUUUUUAAAGAAAAAAUUUUUAAAUUUAUAGUUAAUUAGUAUUGUGAAAGAAUUUUGAAAUAUUAUGAAAAAUAAAAUUUUUAGAAAGUAAUUUUUAUUUAUUGUAUCUUGUGUAUCAGAGUUUAUUAAAAAUUUUUAAUUUAUGAAUUAAUUUCUCGAAUUUAAAAGAGUUAAAUAAUUAUUAAAGUUAUUGUAGCAAAAUUAUUUUAAAUAAUUAUUUAGAAAUGAAAUGUUAAUCGUUUUUAAAUAUAUCUAGUUUUUAUAGAAAAAAAUUUAAUUUUAAAUUUAAAAAUUAUUUAAUUAAUUUAUUAAUUAAAUAAUUACUUAAAUUUUAUAAUUUAAGGGAUAAGCUUUAAAUUAAAUUUUUAUAAUAUUAAAUUUUUAUUUUGAAAAUUUUAUAAUUUAUAUUGUUAAUAAAUUUUAUUUUGUUAUAAAUAAUUUCAUUUUUUUUAAAAUUUAAAUUUUAUUUAAUUUUUUAUAUAAAAUUUAUUUAUAAUUAUAUAAAGUUAAUUAUAAUGAUAAAAUUAGUAUAUUAUUUAAUAUUAAAUUAAAAUUAAUUUUUGAUUAAUAAUUAAAUUAAUUAAAAGGAAUUCGGCAAAUAUUUAUUUUCACUUGUUUAUCAAAAACAUGUCUUUUUGUUAUUUAAUUUAAAGUCUAAUCUGCCCACUGAUUUAUAAAAAUUGAAGGGCUGCAGUAUACUGACUGUACAAAGGUAGCAUAAUCAUUAGUCUCUUAAUUGGUGACUUGUAUGAAAGAUUGGAUGAAAAAUAUACUGUCUCUUAAUUAAUAUAUAGAAUUUAAUUUUUUAUUUAAAAAGUUAAAAUAACUUAAAAAGACGAGAAGACCCUAUAGAGUUUAAUAAAUUAUUUUAUGAAAGUUUUAUUUAUAUUUAUUAAUAAUUUUAUAAAUUUAUUUAUUUAGUUGGGGUGAUAAAAAAAUAAAUUUAACUUUUUUUAAGUAAUUUACAUGGAUAAGUGAUUAAU